ensembl:lincRNA 5930430L01Rik RIKEN cDNA 5930430L01 gene
AGACAGCGAAGGCGGCUGGCAAUCAUUAACUAAUGCUUUCUCCCAGGGAGAAAAAUGCUGGCUUUAAGGAGGCCCGGACGUCAGAAUUGCAAUAGAAGAUAAGAGUCUCAUGUGAUCCAGGCUGAUCUCUCUGUAACUCCCAAUGCUCUUCCCUCUAUUUCCCAAACUCUGGGUUCAUGGGCACGCAUCCUUGCAUCCUUGUACCUGGCCAGUGUCUCAUCUUAGCUGCCAUUGCCCUAUUAUUGAGGAUGAAAGGAAGAUUCUAGUGAAAAGAGAAUAUGCCAUGGAUGUGAUCCAAUAUUUUGUAUUCCUUCAGUGAGUUGAAGCAUAAAAAAAAAAAAAAAAAAAAAAAAAAAACCAACAACAAAAAAAUCUAGAAAGCCAAAGCCUGGCGUGAAGUAAAUAGAGGCCAGAGAGGACCAGGAGUCUUCCAGGCCUGGUGGAGAACAGCUUUAAUCAAGCACUCACAAGGCGGAGCAUGUAGACCUCUGUGAUCUCAAGACUGCUCUGGUCUGUGUAGCUAAUUUCAGCUCAGCCAGAGCCACACAGUGAGACCUUGUCUUCAAAACAAAGCAAAACAAAAACCAUGACAAAGGAAAACAAAAAUCCCCACAAACAUCAACAAAAAGAGGAUCGGGAAUUUAGUCCCAGCUUCAAGUCAGUUUUAGGCUAGCCUGGGCUACCUGAAAUCAGGCAUCGACAAAACAAAACAACUCAUCUGUUAAUGCCUAAUAGCAAGCUAUCUGUGACAAAGGUAGAUGCAGAAGUUUGUCAUUCUGAGGAGCGCUGUGUAUCCAUCCAGGUAUGACUGAACUCCACCCACGUGCAGUGUGUGGUUACCUCGUAUGUCAGCUUCACAUCCCCCAGUGCAUCACCGUCUUGUGUACAACAGUUUGCUGUUUCGCUUGGCCUCUGACCUGGACUCCUUAAUGAGCCCACAGUAAGAACAGCUGCAGUUUUCUUGUUGUGGUCUUUACAGGAGGGUUGAGUGCUGAGACAGAGUGCUUAGGUCCCCGGAGUGUGGACAAGUAUCCACACUUAGUCUGUACCUGACUUCCGUGUCUUCUACUCUGUCACCACUGGUCACAGUAAGAGCCCAAAGCACCUCACUGACAGAGGCUUCUUUUUGUUGUUGAUAACCAUCUUCGUGCAGUCCUGGCUGUACUGAAACUUACUCCGUAGACUAGGCUGGCCUUGAACUCACAAAGCUCUGCCUGCCUCUGCCUCCUGAGUGCUGGGAUUAAAGGCUUGUGAGCUACCACGGCUCAGCAGAGGGUUCUAUCUAUAGUUGCUUCACUCAGCCUGCUUGGGCAGAAGAACAUCAUUGCAGAAGGGAGCCACUCACCGUGUGGCCAACCAGGAAGCAGGAGAAAAGAGGCAGCCAUCUUAGGUGAUUAAGAAUCCUACCGUCAAGGGCUAAGAGGCGGCUUGGUGGUGUAGAACACUUGUUGCUCUUGCAGAGACCCGGAUUUAAUACCCAGCACAUGCAUGCCAGCUCACAAACACCCAUAAUUCCAGUUCCAGAGGACCUGAUACCUUCUUCUGACUUAUGUGGGUACCGGGUACAUGAUGCACAUACAUAUAUAUUCAAGCAAAGCAUCCGCGCACAUCAAUAAAUAGACUAAAAACAAAAAUCUCACCAGUGACGAAUUGAUAGCGGUGGACGGGCAUAUAUAUGAACCUGCGGCUGGGCCUGUGCACACGCCUCUGGUUGGCCCUGCAGUGCGCGGGUCUGAAGUUCAGGUUUGAAUAGCUUCAUGGCAGAUCUCUUUUAGAAACUCAAUGUGUAUCUUAGGGUUAUUCUCAAGGGCUGGGGCUGGAGCUUGAUGAGAGAGUCAUGGCCUAGUUUGUGCAAAGCACUGCGUUCAUUCCUGAGACACAUCCUCCCAAAAUCUGGUGUUCAAACAACUUAAAGGUACUUUCGGUAAGCUCACCUGGACAUCAUAUAUGGGAUAAUCGUCCGUUAUAAAUUUCAAACAGUUUUAAAAAAAGUCUCUUCUGGGAUUGCAGGACUCAAUCCCGGGAAGAUUCCUACCUCCAGACUAACACUUGGAAGAUAAAGAAUGAGGGAGCUGACAACCUUGUUGCAGAAUUCUGCCCAGCACUGACAGCCUCAGCGCCCACCCUCUGCUUCUCAGGAUGACCCUGGGAGCACCUGAGUUUUCUUUGCUCAGUGAGGAAACCCUUGGGUUUCAGAGUAUCUCCUGCUGGCACACUGGGAAAGACUUUUAAAGCUGGAAUUAAAAAACCAAACCAAACCAAACCAAAUCAAACCAAACCAAACCAAACCAAACCAAACUGAAACAAAAAGAAAAACAAACCGUUCAUCUGAUCCUUGGAGCUGUUGCCUGGCGAGGGCAAGCCUGCGUGAUGCGUGCGGGGGCGGGGCGGGGUGGAGUGAAGGGGAAUCGGAGGAGGUCAGACCUUCAGUUUCUCAAUCCAAGAGUGUGGAAUGAUUCUUGUUUUAGUUUUACCUAGUGUAGCUCACUGUUUGCAAGUCAGGGAACCGGCCCCAGGCUCUGCGCCCAGAUUGAAAGCCUUGCUCCCUUCCGAAAUGC